rnacentral:rRNA from 1 species
AUGAACGCUGGCGGCGUGCCUCAUCCCUGCCAGUCGAGCGAACAGACGAGGAGCUUGCUCCUUUGACGUUAGCGGCGGACGGGUGAGUAACACGUGGAUAACCUACCUAUAAGACUGGGAUAGCUUCGGGAAACCGGAGCUAAUACCGGAUAACAUGUUGAACCGCAUGGUUCCACAGUGAAAGACGGUCUUGCUGUCACUUAUAGAUGGAUCCGCGCCGCAUUAGCUAGUUGGUAAGGUAACGGCUUACCAAGGCAACGAUGCGUAGCCGACCUGAGAGGGUGAUCGGCCACACUGGAACUGAGACACGGUCCAGACUCCUACGGGAGGCAGCAGUAGGGAAUCUUCCGCAAUGGGCGAAAGCCUGACGGAGCAACGCCGCGUGAGUGAAGAAGGUCUUCGGAUCGUAAAACUCUGUUAUUAGGGAAGAACAAAUGUGUAAGUAACUAUGCACGUCUUGACGGUACCUAAUCAGAAAGCCACGGCUAACUACGUG